AGAGUUUGAUCCUGGCUCACAAUGAAGUAUGGCGGCGUGGAUUAGGCAUGCAAGUCGCGCGACAAGUUUCCUGCUUGCAGGAAACGGAGGAGCGGCGAAAGGGAGAGUAACACGUGGAUACCUGCCCUCAGCUCCGGGAUAGCAGCGGGAAACUGCUGGUAAUACCGGAUAAUAUCCCCGGAUCAAAGGUGUGAUUCCGGCUGGGGAUGGGUCCGCGUCCUAUUAGGUUGUUGGUGGGGUAAUGGCCCACCAAGCCAAAGAUGGGUACCGUGGCGUGAGAGCGUGGCCCGGCUCACUGGGACUGAGACACUGCCCA
rnacentral:rRNA from 1 species